AGUGGGCUACACACAGAAAGGGGUUGUGGAAUGAAUAUUUUGAACCUUCCAUAAGCAAAAAUGAUAUUAUCAGUAAUGUACCAACUGGUAUAACUAAAGAUCAAUGGGCUAAUUUUGUUGCCUACCGCCUGAAACCAUCAACAAUUGAGCUUUGUAGAAAAAAUAAAGAAAUCCAGAGAAGGCAGACAAUGCCACACAUUGGUGGUUCAAAAGCUAACUCAAGAAGACGAUAUGAACUAGCACAACAUUAACUUAAAUAAUUUCCUUUUUCUUUAUUUAAACUAUUUUAGGAUAAUAUUUGUAAGUUGUAAUACAUUUAUUUCUUAGUUUCUAGAAAAUGGAAAAGCUCCUAAUCACAGAUAAAUAUUUAUUAAAACUAAAAAAAGAAAGAACAGAUAAUUUGUGAAAGAUGAGGCUCAGACUAUAGCGGAACGAAUUGAAUUGAAUAUGACUCAUUGUAGCAUCAAUGAGUCUAAUGUUUUCCCUGAAGAUAUUAUUGGCAAGAUAUUAGGGGCAGAGCACUCCAAAAGAUUAAUAUGUAUGGGCAUGGGAGUAGCUCUAUCAAACACAUUCAUGAAUCCCAAGCGGCGAUGUAGUGAGUUAAGCAUGUCUGGAGCAACUCAAUCAAACACAUUUAUGAAUACCAAGCGGUGAUGUAGUGAGUUGAUCAUGUAUUCAUCUAGAUAUGGUGAGCCAUCAACAAAUUCUACCUAAUUGUACCAAAAGGUUGUUCAUUUUGAGUCUCAAUUUGAAGUAACCCUAAAUGCGCUAAAGAAUUACAUGAUAUCAAAGGAAGGAGGGAUUCCUGAAGAAUUUGCUCGUCUGUUUACUCCUCAACCACAGUAUAUUCUCUGAAAAUAUUGGUCGUCUGGGAUCUUCAAUGGUUGGCAUGUCAUUCUCUUCUGAUUUUCCUCUACUCAGCCGAGCUCAGAAUAUGCUAUCUAGUGAAUUUGAGCUGGUUAUGGUGUCUGUCGCAUCACUUCAUUUUGUUGGUUUCUUUAUUGGGUAAGAUUAUCUUUGUUUCAAUAUAUUGGCCAUAUUUUGCAUCCAUGUGAUUGUGUCAUAUGAUGAGAUCUUUAUCAGGUAUCUUUCUGCUGCUUUGGCCGGUUUUAGUGAACCUAAAAAAUAAGCUGUAUCAAUCGAGGUAUAUUCUUGAUAGGAGUAAGACUCCCACACAUACUACUUUGUUAAAUUCUUGUCAAGCAUGGAAAAGAUCACAUUGAUAAUAGGUUACUAUUUUUAUUUUAGUAGCCCAGACUUAUUUAAGCAGUACCCUAUUUGAUCACUUUUGAAUGACACAUAUUUCUAAUGGAUGAAGCCAAUAUAUUCCCUGUUAUGAUUUACACUUUUGUUCUAAUUUUUGAAGUUAAGAAUUGCUCUUUGUUGAAAAAAAAUUAUACCCAGUGGAAUAGAGAUUGCCUCUCUAUAUCAUUUCCUUCCACAAACUCGUUCAAUUUCAACUAAAUUCAGGAAAAUGGUUUACAUAAUUAUCAUUUGAAAUGAACUUCAUCUUGAACUAGUUGUUACUUCCAACCAAAUGGAGCCUUAAACAGAAAAGAAGUUUCUCACUCUCUGUCCACUUAUUUUUCCCAUUAAUAUAGGCAGCCAAUGAUGUUAUAGUUUCUGUAUUCCCUUGUAGGUGGGCAUAUAAAAUUCUGCCAUGGGCGUGGUUUUAGAAACCUCCCAUUUCUCCUCACCAGCAGUUGCAUUACCUGCAACAACUUCAUCGAUCAUUAUGAAUGUAAUAGGUAGUUGUUUAGGUUUUUUUUUUUGGAGAUGUAUUAACACUAAUCAACCAAAGAGUAGUCUUGAAGUAACUGAUAAAUCAUGAAUAUUUAUGUUGAGCUAUAUUGUUUUUUUCUUACCAUUGUACACCUAUUGAUAAAUUUUUGUUUUUGCCA